CUGAGAUAUUUAAUAGUUAUGUAGAUGUGGUGCUCGGGGAUAUGGUUUAGUGGUGGUCCUGGCAGUGCUGCAUUAAUGGUUGCACAGAAUGAUCUUAGAGGUCUUUUCCAACCUUAAUGAUUCUAUG